UACGGGGGGGGCAAGCGUUGUUCGGAAUUACUGGGCGUAAAGGGCUCGUAGGCGGCCAACUAAGUCAUACGUGAAAUCCCUCGGCUUAACCGGGGAACUGCGUCUGAUACUGGAUGGCUUGAGUUCGGGAGAGGGAUGCGGAAUUCCAGGUGUAGCGGUGAAAUGCGUAGAUAUCUGGAGGAACAUCGGUGGCGAAGGCGGCAUCCUGGACCGGUAUUGACGCUGAGGCACGAAGGCCAGGGGAGCAAACGGG
rnacentral:rRNA from 1 species